ACUCACCUUAACACUUGGCAGGGUCUUUUAUUGAUUAAUGUCAGCGCGUCAGGCCUGCCAUGCGCCACAGUGCUUAUCUGAACUCUAAAAUAAACAAAACCUCUUUCAUAUUUGACUCACCGCAGCUUUAAAGAUUAAUCGUGUCUCGUAUGAAAGGCUGAUAAACCGUGUCUGUGGCUGAUCUUUGACUUUCCAGUGGGCGGAGUGAGGGCGGCGUUAAAGACGUUUUGAUCCCCGCGGCUUUCCGUAGAUCACGGCCUGGGCGUAGUUCACUGCCGCUCCUGCUACUGCGUAGGAAACAAACACCACUUCAGCCGAAGAGCUCGGAGGUGUCUUACAUAAACAAAAACUUAAUAUAAACCUUAAAAAAUGCACUCGGUCACGCUGGACAGCAGUGGUUCGCCAAAGAAACGGACAUUAUCUCGGGGUCUGAGCGAGGAUGAGUCUCUCCGCAGCAUAAUAAAGGAGACUGAGAGCUCAUCCAGACGUCUGCCACGAAGCGAGAGUCGAGCAGGCACCCUGAAGAGAAGGAGCGACAGCCAGCAGUCUGAUCAGGAGCUUUUCAUGGGACUACCAGAAAUGCUGGAGCUGCAGGCCAGCUAUGAUGAGGUGGUGCAGGAGCUGCGUGGGAUGGAGGUUGAGCGAGAGGCUCUGUUGUUCCAGGUGGACGUCCUGCAAGACACACUGGAGGGUGUAGAGGAGUUGCUGGCUGAAGCCCAGAGGGAAGCUGGACAGGCGAGUGUGGAGCUGGAGCAAGAGAGACAGGCCAAGAGAAAGCUGGAGAGUCUCGUUGGCUCUCUGAUGGAAGAGGUGCAGAGAUUAAAAGAGGAGAAGAAUAAUAAACCCACUGCUCCAGUGAACAUGGUGGAUGAAGCAAUAAUACAAGGGCGCCAAAUAAAAAAUUAUGCCAAGGAAUUGAAUGAAGCAACACACAAAGAAGAAAAGGACACCUCACAGUGUGAAACUCACAGCAUCAAAAGCAACAAGGUAGAACCAGCCGCUACAGAGGAAGAUGGUGAAAGAGAAGAGGAUGGAGUCCUGAUGAAGCUGCGGAGAAUGGUCAACAAGCCACUGGGCCACCUGCCUUCUCUAGCACUGGACGGCCUGAUGGUAGAGGACGGUGUACUCCAGAGGCCUUGCGAAAACGGACAAGACCUCUCGUCAGACAAGAACGACUCCGACAGCAUAAGUGCCUAUGAGGAUGCUUUUUCUGGGACGCCAGAAGAGGAUAGGCUGUUUCCAGGUGACGGGGAAGCUUCGGAUCUGCCCUUGGAUUCAGAGAAUAAAGAAGAAGGUCCGACUAACAAUGGUCAGGCCAACUGCAGCAAGAUGCAAGACCCCAAAAACCCAGAUGGCUGCACUCUGUCUUAACUUCAUUUGCUUUAUCUAAUACUGGGCAAAUGUUAAAGAUGAUUAUUGAUACAUUCUAAGAGUUCUUGAUAUUGAUAUUUCUGCUGGCCAACAGUAACAUCCAGAAUUGGUACACAAGGUCAAUCAAAGUGAAAUUAAUCUGCAGUUAUUUUGAUAAUCUUAUUUUUUUUUAUUUUGACAGGGAAAUAUUUUUAAGAUUAUGACUGCUGGGGGGACAAAACAAGAAACUUGAUGUCAUUUUCUGGGUCAUUUCACUUUUUUAAAUGUUGAAUGAUUAAUUUAGAAAGUGAUUGGCAGCUUCAUGUGUAAUGAAAAUAAUGAAUAGCCACAGCCCCUUGUUUCAACACACUGUAGUAGAAAUGUUUUAAAUUUAAAGGACUCAGGAUUUAGAUAAUUUUCUAGCUACAAUUCCACUAAUCACGUUAUUUGCCAAUUGUUUCUUUUAAAUUUGUCUUAACUUGUGUUUCUAAAAGUACGUGGAUAAACAUGGGAAAUACUCCACGCUGCUUUCAUUGUUUACCUCUGUUCAUCUUUUAGGAUCAUUUUUGUGUGUAUGGACAGGAAUCAGGAUUUAACUGUAUACAAAAUACAGUGAGAGCUGUUUGCAUUUGGACGGAUGCUGUUUUGCCUCCAAUCCCUGGUAUCCCUGGUAUGAGUACAGUCUCAUUUAUUUGUUUGACACUGAUCGUUGUACAAGCUGCCAUCACAUAUAACAAUCAAGGCCAGGUGUCGUUUUUGAAGGAAAAACAUAGUUUACUGCCGCUCCAGUCCAAAAACGUCUUCUUUCUUUGUCCUUCAUGUGGACAACUUUUGUUCCAAGGAAACUUAAUUUGGCUGCAUUUGCACUUUUAAAAUUCUUGUAUUAUGGCAUAAAAAUUGUCAGAUUACAUGAGAAACAACAUUCCCUUUAUAACCAAACAUGUUAGUGAGACACGGUCAGCUGACCUGCUGUAUGGUUGCACAUUUUUAUUAGUGGAAUUUGCUGAAAUCGGUCUGUUUGGAUGUUUGCUGUAAACACUUUGUAUGUUUUUGUGUUUGUUUUUUUCUAAUGUUACAUUUUUUAAAGGCAACAAUGGACCCCAAUCCUUAUUUUUUAAUAGUUUGCAUGAGCAUCUAUGAAUGUAUGUUCAUUUCCAAACUGCACAUAAGUUAUUGAUUAGUACUUUUGCACGCAGUACUUUUAAAAUAUAUUUUAAAAAAAUGUACUCACUGCAAAAAGUUUUUAAAAAGGGAUUUUCAGACUUGAUUAAGAUGAAAUAAUUCUGAAUCUAGUGUAUCAUAUCAUACCCCAGUUACUGAGAUGAUUAUUUUGUGAACAAACAUAUCAGACUACAUUAGAAGUAAAAAUCACACUUGACAGUUUAUACAAAUGCAGAAAAUCAUACAUUAAUGGGACAUUGCAGUUGGUUUAUUUAGCCUCACAUCUUUUUGAGGGUUAAUCAUUGCCUUGAUAACUGUAAUCACACUGUCCUCUCUCAGCAUUAGUCUUGCUCUCAUGCUAAUACUUGAUUAUAUAUUGUGUUGGAUGCCAAGAUGCACGAAAGAGUGAUCAAGUUACAGCAGGUUACUGUUACUGCAGUGCUGUUGAGGCAUUUUUUUAACAAUUUAUAAAAUGUUCAAAAAUCUGUCUUUUGAGCCAUUGAAGUUUAUCACUGGGAUGCAUCCGCUAAAUUUCGCUGGCAUUGUUUGGCAUGUUCAACACUCGGCAGACAAUGUAUUAAGUAGUUUGUUUUUGUUUCAUCAUCGCACAAGAAUGCAAAAAUAUCAUCACCAUAAUUUGAUGCCUUUUUGUGGGUCUGAAUAUUUUUGACUUUGCCUUGAGCUUCGGAUUAAAUGUUCAGUACAUUUAUAUCAAAAUAAAAUGAGUGAAUAAUGCA
ensembl:lncRNA leucine-rich repeat flightless-interacting protein 1-like